rnacentral:ncRNA from 1 species
AACAAGUUUUAUUCUAACUUUUUUUUUUAAAUAUUAAAUUAUUAUUACAUGUAAUUUUAUAAGCUUAUAUUUUUAUUCUAAAAGAAUUUAUUUCUAAUUCACAGUAUAUAAUAUUAUUAUUUAUUAAUUUUAGAUAUAGUUAUUUUAAUAUAGAAAGGACAAAUUUUGUGCCAGCAGUCGCGGUUAUACAUAAUUUUCAAUUUAAGAAAUAAAGUUUCAGUUAAAUGAUUUUUUUUUAUUAAUUUAUAUUAAUUUUGGUGAAAUGAUAUUAAUUAAGUAUAAUAAUUUUAUAUAUCUGAGAAACUAUUAAUAUAAACUAGGAUUAGAUACCCUAUUAUUAAAAGUGUAAAUUAAAUUAACUUGAUUAUUAAUAGAUAUAAUCUUAAAAUUCAAAGAAUUUGGCGGUAAUAUAUCUUUUCAGAGGAACCUGUUUUAUAAUUGAUAAUCCACAAUAGAUUUUACUUUAUUAUAGUUUGUAUAUCAUUGUCAAGAAUGUUCUUUAAGGAUAUUUUCUAAUUUUCUAUAAAAAAAAUGUCAGAUCAAGGUGCAGCUAAAUUUUAAAGAAAAAAUGGGUUACUAUUAAAAAAUAUUUAGAUUUUUUUUAAUAUAUUAAAAUAAAGAAAUUGGAUUUGAUAAUAAAUUAAUUAAAUUUAUUUUUUUGAAGUAAGCUCUAUAUUAUGUACACAUCGCCCGUCACUCUCAUCUUAAGAUGAGAUAAGUCGUAACAAAGUAGUUGUACCGGAAGGUGUAUCUAGAUAGA